CACUAGUUCACUGGCUCUAGCUACACAAACCUAAGCAGCUCUCACCUCAUCUUCUUGCUCUCUCUCACUCUAACCGUGAUCCAUAGUUCUUGAGCCCUUGUUCUCUCGUGGCCGGCCGCCAUUGCUGCUGCUUGCUUUUCCUUGCUCCUCCACAAAGAACCCAGCUGAUAGCGUGUUUGCGCAGCAAGAAGCUGCUAGAAAGAGAUCUGGGGAGAAGGAAGGGUAUGGAACAAUCCUUGAAGCUCAGGAGGGAUAGCGCCUAGGAAAUCACUAGAUUGGAGCCAUGAGGAGGAAGAGAUCGAAGUAAAUCUCUUCGAUCCCUUUCUCUGAAGGUUCUGUCUAUCAAUCUGAAGCGCUAUCUAUCCUGAGCUCCACGGCUUGUUCUUACCACACACACACACACACACACGCCGCCGGCCGAUCGAUCGAGUUCCCCAGCUUGCUCGCUCUCAUGAGUAAUCUCUUCACACCUGUUUUUGCAAUGCAGGUGAGACCGUGAGAGGUCGUAGUCUCAUCAGCAGAAAUGAAGACUGUCCCUGCAACGCUUGACGCCAUUGCUGCAAGCCUGUGGCCGAGGUAUCUCCUCCUGGCUCCAUGAUUAUUUUACCAUAUCCGUGCAAGGGGAUGAGGUGUGUUCAUGCAUGCAGCAUGCUUGCAAAAGUUAUGGGCACGGCGGCUGGUUUUUACUUGCUACCGUACAAAGGGUGAGUUAAUGCUGACCUAACCGAUUCAAGAGCAUGUUCCAUCAUCUCCUGCUGCAAAAUUUCAUUCAUAAAACCAAGAGUAUGGAGUUAUUCCCUACCCCCCAUAAAUGUAUACAAAUAUAUUAUCAUUAAGAAUAAAUAAAAGUAGCAGCACAAAAUAAAAGAAACAUGGCCCUACAUAUCUCCUAUGCAGUGUAGUUGUAAUAUAGUUACCUCUUGAAACAGUGACUUGUGAGAGAAAUUUUAGCAGUAUCUUUUAAUAAAGGCUGAAUUUCAUCCUGAACCAGACAUCUAAUCUCAUAAAAUGUUUCAGCUUGAAACUGUUUUCAAUGCAAAUAUAUGCUUUCUUUUUACACUCGAAAAUUAGAGGCAGUGAAGCUGAAGCAGCAGCUCUGCAGGCUUGUACACCGUGGCUCAUACGAGCAUGCAACGCCAUGGAUUGCACAAGAGCGGGUCUCGUCUCGUCUCGAGAGGCAAAAGCCUCAUCGCCUUUCCAAUCCGGUUGACAUGUCUUGAUGACUGCCAUUUCAGGGCAUGUAGGUAGGGGGCCGGAUCUUCUGCGCCACCGGACUCCACGGCCCAUGCCAUGACUGACACGACGACGACGACGACACCUCCCCUGUUCCUUUGCAAAAACAAAUGCCAAAGGAAGCGUGCAAUUACGUUUCAAAAAAAAAAAGCGUGCAAUGAAACGAACGAAAGGCAUCAGCUCGCUGCUCACUGCGGCCACCACGCUGGGGAGUAGUAUAGUGUACCGGCACAUAGCCCCUGACCCCCCUUGUUCUUCUCGUGAAAGUUUUGAAUACAUUUUUUAUGAGGCCGCGGCCUCGUAGUAUAGUACCAGAUGAUGAAAAUUCAUUGAAAUCCAAUGUACCCUGAUGCAGCCCCAAUUUUCAAUGGUCUGUACGCUGGCAGAGGAGAAUUUGCUCCUCCCCCCUGCCCUUUUUAUAAUUCCUCGUACAAAUCUCUAACG
rnacentral:lncRNA from 1 species